CUCAGCGAAAUUGAAUUCCCCGUGAAGAUGCGGGGUACCCGCGGUCAGACGGAAAGACCCUGUGAACCUUUACUGCAGCUUUGCUGUGGCAUCAUAAAGUGUAUGUGUAGGAUAGGUGGGAGGCUUUGAAGCUUGGGCGCCAGUCUGAGUGGAGCCGUCCUUGAAAUACCACCCUUAUUCUUUGUGAUGUCUAACCGCUCCCCUGGAUGGGGACGGGACCCAGCAUGGUGGGCAGUUUGACUGGGGCGGUCGCCUCCCAAAGAGUAAC
rnacentral:rRNA from 18 species